AAAAACGUGUAUUAAUCCUUUAGUGUCUCCAAAAGGAGCUGUGUGAAGUCUGAUGAAUUACUUCAAGUCAUGUCACUUAAGUUAGCAAAGGUUGGGGCUGAAGAAAUUUGAAAAAAA